UGAGGAAUAUUGGGCAAUGCCCGCAAGGGUGACCCAGCAACGCCGCGUGGAGGAUGAAUGUCGUAAGAUUGUAAACUCCUGUUAGAGGGGAAGAAUAGUACCGGUUGGACCGGUAUAUGACUGUACCCUCAGAGAAAGCCCCGGCUAACUACGUGCCAGCAGCCGCGGUAAUACGUAGGGGGCAAGCGUUGUCCGGAUUUACUGGGUGUAAAGGGCGCGCAGGCGGGAUAAAAAGUCAGUGGUGAAAUCCUACAGCUUAACUGUAGAACUGCCUUCGAUACUUUUAUUCUUGAGUUCGGGAGAGAGAGACGGAAUUCCAGGUGUAGUGGUGAAAUACGUAGAUAUCUGGAAGAACACCAGUUGCGAAGGCGGUCUCUUGGUCCGACACUGACGCUGAGGCGCGAAAGCGUGGGGAGCAAACA
rnacentral:rRNA from 1 species